GCUUAGCCCUAGACCUCAGUAGUUAAACCAACAAAACUACUCGCCAGAAUACUACAAGCAACCGCUUGAAACUCAAAGGACUUGGCGGUGCUUCACACCCCCC
rnacentral:rRNA from 1 species